rnacentral:rRNA from 1 species
CGAUGGGAAACGGGUUAAUAUUCCCGUACUUCUAGUUACUGCGAUGGGGGGACGGAGAAGGCUAGGCCAGCAAGGCGUUGGUUGUCCUUGUUUAAGGUGGUAGGCAGAGAUCUUAGGUAAAUCCGGGGUCUUAAUGCCGAGAGCUGAUGACGAGCUUUCUUUUAGAAAGCGAAGUGGUUGAUGCCAUGCUUCCAGGAAAAGCCUCUAAGCUUCAGGUAACUAGGAACCGUACCCCAAACCGACACAGGUGGUUGG